UAACUUUCCUAAAUUAUACUAACAUUCCUCACCCUCUUUCUCUUCCACAGGAUGAGUCCUUCCUGUUUGAAGAUAAGCUGCAGAGUCUAGCUUCGAAAACCGUUCAGGGAUGCUACAAGAAGAAUGAAUUUGUCCUGUGCGUGUUAAAGUGUUAAUUACAAUCAUCUCAACCUAGAUAAUUUCAGUUCAUUUAAAUCUGAAUUCGGAAGCACUACAGGAAGAAGGAGGAAAGCUGAGCCUCCUAAACCAGACAAAGAGAAUGUGGCACCUGUUCAGAUUAAUACUCUAUCAGGCUCUGGCACUCUCAAUUCUACACAGAAUGCAGGGAUUCAUACUGCUACUACUACCACUCCACAUUCUCAGACCUGUCACCGUACGCUCUCAAGUACUCAAUCCAUUCCUAUCAGUAAUGCUGUCACACCUCUUUCUAAUAUAUC